UACGAGGGGGGCGAGCGUUGUUCGGAAUUAUUGGGCGUAAAGGGUGCGUAGGCGGUUUGGUAAGUCUCGUGUGAAAUCUCCGGGCUCAACUCGGAGCCUGCACGAGAAACUGCCGGGCUUGAGUGUGGGAGAGGUGAGUGGAAUUCCUGGUGUAGCGGUGAAAUGCGUAGAUAUCAAGUGGAACACCAGUGGCGAAGGCGAGUCUCUGGACAUUUCCUGACGCUGAGGCACGAAAGCCAGGGGAGCAAACGGG
rnacentral:rRNA from 1 species